rnacentral:rRNA from 1 species
AUUGAACGCUGGCGGCAGGCUUAACACAUGCAAGUCGAGCGGAGAUGAGGUGCUUGCAUCUUAUCUUAGCGGCGGACGGGUGGGUAAUGCUUAGGAAUCUGCCUAUUAGUGGGGGACAACAUUCCGAAAGGAAUGCUAAUACCGCAUACGUCCUACGGGAGAAAGCAGGGGAUCUUCGGACCUUGCGCUAAUAGAUGAGCCUAAGUCGGAUUAGCUAGUUGGUGGGGUAAAGCCUACCAAGGCGACGAUCUGUAGCGGGUCUGAGAGGAUGAUCAGCCAAACUGGGAAUGAGACACGGCCCAGACGCCUACGGGAGGCAGCAGUGGGGAAUAUUGGACAAUGGGGGGAACCCUGAUCCAGCCAUGCCGCGUGUGUGAAGAAGGCCUUAUGGUUGUAAAGCACUUUAAGCGAGGAGGAGGCUACUGAGACUAAUACUCUUGGAUAGUGGACGUUACUCGCAGAAUAAGCACCGGCUAACUCUGUGCCAGCCGCCGCCGUAAAAC